AUUGAACGCUGGCGGCAUGCUUUACACAUGCAAGUCGAACGGUAACAGGCCGCAAGGUGCUGACGAGUGGCGAACGGGUGAGUAAUGCAUCGGAACGUGCCCAGUCGUGGGGGGAUAACGCAGCGAAAGCUGCGCUAAUACCGCAUACGAUCUAUGGAUGAAAGACGGGGGGACCGGUAAGGCCUCGCGCGAUUGGAGCGGCCGGAUGUCAGAUUAGGUAGUUGGUGGGGUAAAGGGACUCACCAAGCCAACGAUCUGUAGCUGGUCUGAGAGGACGACCAGCCACACUGGGACUGAGACACGGCCCAGACUCCUACGGGAGGGCAGCAGUGGGGGAAGUUUUU
rnacentral:rRNA from 1 species